GUGCUGGCUUGGGUAGCGCACAUACUAAAAUUGGAAUGAUACAGAGAAGAUGAGCAUGGCCCCUGCGCAAGGAUGACACGCAAAUUCGUGAAGCGGUCCCUAUUUUU
ensembl:snRNA U6 U6 spliceosomal RNA